AGGGACUUCUCCCUGCCCUUCCCCGCGCCAUCCCACUCUCCUCCAUCUCGGCCGGCCGGACCGCAUCGUCGGCGGCAGCGACCAGCGCAGCCCCCGUGGAGCGUCCAGGAGGGCGAGGAGGUGAGCACCAGCGCAGAUUCGUCGGAAGGGAGAUGAAGGGGGGUGAAGAGAUGUGAGGGAGGAGAUCUGUGGUGCUGCUGUGCAUCUGUGAGAACCAUAUCCGCAAGCUCCUCCUAGGUUGCAGCUACUACCACUCCAAGAACUCCAACCUAGACGGAGGAGGGUAGUAAUUCGGGUUUGCUUAUUCUUUAUCUUUCAGCUUUUAGAGAAAAUUUACCAUUACUAUCUUAAAUCUUUGUGGGUUAGAGUUUCUGAUGAUCCAACAUCCCAUGAUUAUGCUAUUAGUCAAAUACUGAAAUUUUUGCUGGUUUCCCAAUAUAAAUUUUGCUUAGGAAGGAACAUCAUGGAGGCCGCUUGCCGCAUAAGAGGCUGGAGCGGCAAGUUUGGUGUGGCUGCUCCUCCAUGCAAAGUUUGCUGCUAGGUUUAGGUUCAGAUUUAGGAGGAGGUGGCCGGCCGUUCGGAAUAUUGUGCGAGCCAGCAGCGGUGACACGGUCCUUCUCCUCCCUCCUUACUUGUGGUGGGCUAGGGCCGGAGCUUGAUGGUUGUCGGAGCCGCUCGUCCACCCUGUACCUGAUUUGCUUUGAGCAGAGAAAAGUAGAGAGGGGUGGUGGAUUCGCAUGCUCGACAGCCCGCCAGCUAGGAUUUGAUGGCGGAGAGAUGCGAAGUCUAGCUUGAUUGUUGGCUUCUUUAUUAUAUGGACGUGAUGCAAGGUUGCUAUAACAGAAAGACCAGGUUCACCUAUUUUCCUGCUACAAAGAUCACCAUCAUAUAGGUUGGUCUAAAGGUGAAGAGCUUCAGGGGCUUGUCGCUUGUUUUUGAGGCGAGCUUAUUUGGAGCUUCCAGUUUGUCCUGGGCAUCAUCAAAAGGAUGCCUGCAAUGGCCUACGUCAUCGAUUUGAGAAAAAAGAAGAGUCUCAUUAAGGUGAUUUGGAGGAAGGAGCCAACCAGUACCCCGCAAAACUUUUGUGCUGAAGGAGGGCGGAUUUUCCAUCUAUAAUUUUGUGUUUAGUUCAGUUCGGCACUGAAAAAUGGUUUGGUCCUUUCUUUCGUUAAAAUGGUGAGAGAUACCUGCAAAAUGUUCCUCUACUGAAGCCUGUGAUCAAUAUAGAGGAAUUUGAGUCUUCUAUUUUGCAGCUAGGGUUUCAGUUUAUAGAAGAUUCUUGCUGAUGACGAUCACAGGGAGCAUCAUGGUGAGUUCGCAUUGGCGUGACGGUGCUGCACCCGUUGAGUAAUGCAUCGGUAUAGGCUUGGGAUUGCAGCGGUUGUACCUACAGAAGUGGCAGAAAGCAAAGCUAAAAUUAUGUUGAAGCUUCUUUCAUCAAGACAAACAAUAAAGUGGCAAAGAAUAAUUUGGUUUUAGUUUCUGUUGAAUGAUGGUUUUAUGAUGUAUCAAACAUUGAUGGAGUCAUCUGUUGGAGAAAUGCCAUAUGCGCCGCCGCCGGCUGGACAUCCAUGGCACACAAUCCUUCGCCCUCCUACCUCGACAUGGGCUAAGUUGUCCUUGACGGUGACCUUGACAUUUCGAACCCAUCUACAGGUUAAUUAUGAGGACUUGGUGCUCCAUUAUCUCCUCAUUUCACUUAUGUGGGUGGCGAGGAGAUCAGCGAGAUGUCUCGCACCACCGGUGCAUGAUGACAAGAUGGUGGGGCCUUUUGGCGUUCUUGCAAUCCGGUUUCCUCGGCCAGAGUUAGGCGACCUUGCCAGCAACACCUCGUCAUCUCGAACUUGUCACUAGGUAUACCAUCUCCCUAGAUGCAAAAGGAGAGGUGCAGAUUCAGGAUCAGUGGUGCAUUGCUUACUAAAAAGAAGAGCUUUGAACAAUUACUUUUGAACAAAAGGACAGAUGGAUUAUCUCGAUCAUUGCCCAACAUUGGACAAUAAUAAUAUUGCCCCUUCAUACAGUGGAGCUGGAGUGCUUAAAGGAUUUUUAUUGAAAAAUAAUCCUCUUGAUCUCUCUUCUAUCUCCAUAGCUCAUAUGUUGAUGCUCCUCCCUUCCUCAUGUGUGAGUCUAACACCGGGGAAGUUUCAUAUUUGUUCAUAACAACUUGACUGUCAACUAAAGAAUUGGAUAUGAGUUAUUACCAAUAAUGAUUGCAUCUUCUGUGAGAAUGAUCUGGUUACUGACAAGAAUGCGGAGCUCAUCGGGAUGCAAGAUGCCGAGGUGGCCGGCAUCCAACACCGUGGGCUGUUGGUGCUCCACCCAGCGCCGCACUUCUUGCUUGCAUGCAUGCCACCGGUCAGUUGUAAGAUGCC